UGAAGCUCCUUCGACGAGUCGAGUUGUUUGGGAAUGCAGCUCAAAACGGGAGGUAAAUUUCUUCCAAAGCUAAAUACCGGCCGGAGACCGAUAGUGCACAAGUAGAGUGAUCGAAAGAUGAAAAGCACUUUGGAAAGAGAGUCAAACAGCGCGUGAAAUUGUUAAAAGGGAAGCGCUUGCGGUCAGAACUUGGCCGCCGUUGCUCGGGGAGGUCUCGCGCCUCCCUCGCUCUUCGGCGGCUGGGCCAGCAUCGGUUCGGGCGGCUCGAGAAAGGUCGCGGGAACGUAGCUCCCUCCGGGGAGUGUUAUAGCCCGCGGCGCAAUAGGGCCCGCCUGGACCGAGGUCUGCGCAUUUGCUCGGAUGCUGGCGUAAUGGCCCCAAGCGGCCCGUCUUGAAACACGGACCAAGGAGUCUAACAUUCGUGCGAGUGUUCGGGUGUCAAACCCGUGCGCGCAAUGAAAGUGAACGUAGGUGGGAACCCCUCGCGGGCGCACCAUCGACCGAUCCUGAUGUCUUCGGAUGGAUUUGAGUAUGAGCACGUAUGUUGGGACCCGAAAGAUGGUGAACUAUGCCUAAGCAGGGCGAAGCCAGAGGAAACUCUGGUGGAGGCUCGCAGCGGUUCUGACGUGCAAAUCGAUCGUCAAAUUUGGGUAUAGGGGCGAAAGACU
rnacentral:rRNA from 1 species